rnacentral:misc_RNA from 1 species
UGGAGCAUCUCCAAAUACAUUAUCAACUUGGAGUCUCUGUCUAGAGAGGAAAAUCCCGUCCUGUCCACUGACAUGAUCUGCUAAUGGAGUAUAUUGAUUAACUGGAAAUGAACUAUUAAAAGUUGGCAUUUGCUGCACUGGUUGCUUAUCUGUCACCCCUUGUGAAAAUUGGUUUAGAGAUGGUCUUGAACUAGAAACAGGAAAUCCAUAUAGAGA